rnacentral:lncRNA from 1 species
CCGUGUCCUCAUCCCCAUCCAAGCCCUGCGUGUGUGCGCGGCAGGUGACUCAGCAACAGAUGACAACGGCCAGCAACGGACCGUAACGCCCAGCAACGGAUGAUGACGGCCAGCAACGGGCAACAAGGGAUGAUAACGGAUCACAACGGCCAGCAACGGACGGAUGAUAACGGCCAGCAACAGGCAACCCGGAUAAUAACGGAUAGCAACGGCCAGCAAAGGAUCGUAACGGCCAGCAACGGGCAACAACGGAUGAUAACGGCAGGAUCAAGUUUCGGGCAAGGGGGGAUUUAAAUUGCAGAAAACAUGUCGUUUGUGGGCCGGGAGGGGGCCGGGAGAUUUCGUGCAUGUAGGGGUGUCUGUGUGGCGGGAAAGACUGCUAAGGCUGCUCCGGAAUCAAAAAACAGCACGUGGAAUGCAGGAUGAUUUGGCGGCUUCAUUGCACUGUUACAUCAAUCAAUCAAAAGCAGGACACGUUUAUCCUUUAGAGAUGGUGAAGUUUUACGCUUAGUGAUGUUAGCUCCUUCAAUAUUUCUGUAAGACUUUUGGAUGACAAUGUCAACGAAGUCGAAGAUAACAAAGUCGAACGGCAUUUCAUGGCUAGGACAACCGUAAACGAACUGGCUAGAAAUAACCUUUUUCCCUAACGGAGAGUUCGGUAAUAGAAAGUUGACUUCAGCCACGUCUUUUUUCUAAAACCAAGUAGCUGUCCUAGAUCGCUCGCCGCAACUGGACGAGGAUUGUCCGUUGAGAACAGUGGAAUCCUCGUGAGGUUGGCUUCAUUGCUGUUGCAUCCCUUCCUAAGACGCAACAGCAAUGAAGCCAAACAAAUACAGCAAGCAGAUAAAACGGCCGAGGCGACGGCACCUGGCGACUGAGUGCAUCAGUCAUCGGACAUGUUAAAGCUCGGCCUCCGGGCCUCAGCUGCGCCACCUUAAUCCGUUCGCAACUAUAUGUGAUGCCCCUUUUGGUACGGUUUAGCUCCUUGCGAGGUGGCAGCCAAUCCCAGCAUACCUCCGGCAGCGCAGCGCCGGCCAAGGCGCCAAUGUCCCGCCAAGACACUCGGGAAAGCGUCCGGAGCUUGCUAGCUCCAUCCUUCAAUAGAAUGCCUACAAUAUUACACAAAAUUUCGGCCGGUUUUAUGGAAAGUUCCACCCGCACGUCACGAGUAGCACUGACAGGCAAUCUUAAAACAGUCAACG